rnacentral:tRNA from 1 species
GGGCAAAUAACAGAGUGGCCAAAUGGGGCAGACUGUAAAUCUGCUGGCUUACGCCUUCGGUGGUUCGAAUCCAUCUUUGCCCA